rnacentral:rRNA from 1 species
GUGGGGAAUCUUCCGCAAUGGACGAAAGUCUGACGGAGCGACGCCGCGUGAGUGAAGAAGGCCUUCGGGUCGUAAAGCUCUGUCAUCAGGGACGAAUGGCCGGUGGAGUGGAAAGCCACCGGAUUGACGGUACCUGAGAAGGAAGCCACGGCUAACUACGUGCCAGCAGCCGCGGUAAUACGUAGGUGGCAAGCGUUGUCCGGAAUUAUUGGGCGUAAAGCGCGCGCAGGUGGGAUCUUAAGUCCAUUUUGAAAGUUCGGAGCUCAACUCCGUGAUGGGAUGGAAACUGGGAUUCUUGAGUACCGGAGAGGAAAGCGGAAUUCCCCGUGUAGCGGUGAAAUGCGUAGAUAUGGGGAGGAACACCAGUGGCGAAGGCGGCUUUCUGGACGGUGUCUGACACUGAGGCGCGAAAGCUAGGGGAGCGAACGGGAUUAGAUACCCUUGUAGUCC